UACGUAGGGUGCAAGCGUUGUCCGGAAUUAUUGGGCGUAAAGGGCUCGUAGGCGGUUUGUCGCGUCGGGAGUGAAAACCCAGGGCUUAACCCUGGGCUGGCUUCCGAUACGGGCAGACUAGAGGUAUGCAGGGGAGAACGGAAUUCCGGGUGUAGCGGUGAAAUGCGUAGAUAUCCGGAGGAACACCGGUGGCGAAGGCGGCUUCCUGGACCGACACUGACGCUGAGGCGCGAAAGCUAGGGGAGCAAACGGG
rnacentral:rRNA from 1 species